GACGAACGCUGGCGGCGUGCUUAACACAUGCAAGUCGAACGGAAGGGCCCUGCUUUUGUGGGGUGCUCGAGUCGCGAACGGGUGAGUAACACGUGAGUAACCUGCCCUUGACUUUGGGAUAACUUCAGGAAACUGGGGCUAAUACCGGAUAGGAGCUCCUGCUGCAUGGUGGGGGUUGGAAAGUUUCGGCGGUUGGGGAUGGACUCGCGGCUUAUCAGCUUGUUGGUGGGGUAGUGGCUUACCAAGGCUUUGACGGGUAGCCGGCCUGAGAGGGUGACCGGCCACAUUGGGACUGAGAUACGGCCCAGACUCCUACGGGAGGCAGCAGUGGGGAAUAUUGCACAAUGGGCGGAAGCCUGAUGCAGCAACGCCGCGUGCGGGAUGACGGCCUUCGGGUUGUAAACCGCUUUCGCCUGUGACGAAGCGUGAGUGACGGUAAUGGGUAAAGAAGCACCGGCUAACUACGUG
rnacentral:rRNA from 1 species